rnacentral:rRNA from 1 species
GAACAAGCUACACAGAGUACGAGGUGGAUGCCUAGGCGCUCAAGACCGAUGAAGGACGCGGAGACCGGCGAAACGUUCAGGGGGAGCUGCAUACAAGCCAUGAGCCCUGAGACUCCGAAUGGGGCAACCCCUCCAGGGUGAUGUCUGGAGACCUGCAGGGGAACACAUAGCCUGCAGGAGGGCAGCGGGUGAACUGAAACAUCUCAGUAGCCCGACGAGAAGAAAUCAAGCGAGAUUCCCGCAGUAGUGGCGAGCGAAACGGGAGGAGCCCAAACCACCCGCUCGCAAGAGCCGGUGGGGUUGUAGGACCAGGACAACGGCCAGGAGCCGAACGCGAAGGUGUUGGAAGGCACCGCCACAGAGGGUGAGAGACCCGUAGCGAGCAAGGCGAGAGACCCGACUGGCAUCCUGAGUACCACGAGGCACGUGAAACCUUGUGGGAAG